AGCGAACGCUGGCGGCAUGCCUAACACAUGCAAGUCGAACGGAGGCUUCGGCCUCAGUGGCACGCACGGGUGAGUAACACGUGGGAACCUACCUUUCGGUUCGGAAUAACGUCUGGAAACGGCGACGCUAACACCGGAUACGCCCUUCGGGGGAAAGUUUACGCCGAGAGAUGGGCCCGCGUCGGGGAUUAGGUAGUUGGUGGGGUAACGGCCUACCAAGCCUGCGAUCCGUAGCUGGUCUGAGAGGCGAUGAUCAGCCACACUGGGACUGAGACACGGCCCAGACUCCUACGGGAGGCAGCAGUGGGUUGAAUAUUGGACAAUGGGCGCAAGCCUGAUCCAGCAAUGCCGCGUGAGUGAUGAAGGCCUUGUAGGGUUGUAAAGCUCUUUCGCACGCGACGAUGAUGACGGUAGCGUGAGAAGAAGCCCCGGCACUAACUUCGUGCCAGCAGCCGCGGUAAUACGAAGGGGGCUAGCGUUGUUCGGAAUUACUGCCGGCGUAAAGGGCGCGUAGGCGGCCUGUUCAGUCAGAAGUGAAAGCCCCGGGCUUAACCUGACGGAACUGCUUUUGAUACUGGCAGGCUUGAGUUCCGGAGAGGAUGGUGGAAUUCCCAGUGUGCAGAGGUGAAAUUCGU
rnacentral:rRNA from 1 species